GUCCUGGCCGUAACGAUGAGCACUAGGCCGGAGGGCUGCACAGCUUUUCGGCCGUAGCUAAAGUGUUAAGUGCUCCGCCUGGGGAGUAUGGUCGCAAAGGCUGAAACUCAAAGGAAUUGACGGGGGCUCACACAAGCGGUGGAGGAUGUGGCUCAAUUCGAGGCUACGCGAAGAACCUUAUCCUAGUCUUGACAUGGUUUAGAAUCCUCCCGAAAGGGAGGAGUGCCCGCAAGGGAGCUUUUUCACAGGUGCUGCAUGGCUGUCGU
rnacentral:rRNA from 1 species